ACUCAAAUGAAUUGACGGGGGCCCGCACAAGCGGUGGAUCAUGUGGUUUAAUUCGAAGCAACGCGAAGAACCUUACCUGGGUUUGACAUCCUCUGACAGCUGUAGAGAUACAGUCUUAGUAGCAAUACUACAGAGAGACAGGUGCUGCAUGGCUGUCGUCAGCUCGUGUGGUGACAUGUUGGGUUAAGUCCCGCAACGAGCGCAACCCCUAUCCCUAGUUGCCAGCAUUAAGUUGGGCACUCUAUGGAGACUGCCGUGGUUAACACGGAGGAAGGUGGGGAUGACGUCAAGUCCUCAUGGCCCUUAUAUCCAGGGCGACACACGUGAUACAAUGGACGAUACAGAGGGAUGCGAAGCUGCGAAGCGGAGCGGAUCUCAAAAAGUCGUUCUCAGUUCGGAUUGGAGUCUGCAAUUCGACUCCAUGAAGGUGGAAUCGCUAGUAAUCGCGGAUCAGCACGCCGCGGUGAAUACGUUCCCGGGCCUUGUACACACCGCCCGU
rnacentral:rRNA from 1 species